rnacentral:misc_RNA from 1 species
AAAAAAGGGACUUUUUCUCUGAUAAUUUAAAUGAUGCUGAAAGGGAUGUAGUAAUGGACUUCUAGUUGAGCAAGGAGACAGAGAGAGUACUGGUGGCAUACUGCAUAUUUGGUUGUAUUAGCUGUAAAAUGUUCAAACAGUCAUUCAGCAUACUUGAGUUGAGUGUUACACGUUGUUUGUGGAAAGUGAUGACAUGGAAUGAGGUCCUUGAUGUGUUGACAGUUAAUAAUUCACAAUACUGUUUGCAAGGGUGGCCAUUCUUUAGAUGAUAGCUCUAGUAAUUUAGUGGUCCUGUUGAGCUUGCAA